GACUGCUCCUACUCUUCAUUUUCCUUUAUAAACAGAACUAGCCGACCUUCUGGUGCCCCAAACAAAACUAGAUCCUGCUGCUUCCAUAGGAGAUGGAUGGAAGAUUUUUCACACAGAGCUCUGGUUGGUGCUGAGACCAGGUCAUAUGGAAGCAUCAGACCACAGAACUCCUAUCCCGUCGCCUAGCUCCCUCUACUUGGAUGGGCAAGAAUGAACUCUGAGCCACCUCCCUUCCAGUCUGCUGGAUGCUACUGUGGAGAGAGAAACAUCUCUGCUGAUCCCUGCUUCGGAUGUCCUUGGAAAAGGCGGUGAUGGAAACUUGAGGAAAGAAAAUAUAUCAAGAAAGCCCGGCGAUGACCGUAUCUCACCCCCACCGCUGCCAGUGCCACGGAGAAGCUGUGUCAGAGGCAUAUGACGAGUCUUUCUAAGGCAAACAAGAGGACCGUGAGGGGGCACGUGCCACCGGGUGUUACUGCUGUAGCAGUGCUUGUGAAGGGACGUUGCGAUGGGAGCUGGAUUUUCUGAGUCUAGCGGCAGCACGCUGAUACACAAGAAUGAAGGAUGCUUCCUCCUCUCAGAAGGAAGAGACCCUCUCCACAAUUUGAGGUGACACAGAUACCCACAGAAAGCAGAUCCCCUAAUUUGGGCCAUUGAGACCCCACCGUUCAGACAAAUCCCCCUUACUGCUCAUCUCCCUCUUUACACUCCCUCUUUUAGUAGCUCAUGUCUUUCUUCCUUCCCAAGCUGUCUGACCAGAGAUGGACCAGCGUAGGAUCCUGGGGAUGCUGAAAGCAUCCUGGCCUGUCUGGUAAAUGGUCUGUAUUUUCACCUGGCCUGACUCAAGAGAUCAGUGAUCACUUGAAGGGACGCUAUCUCAUGAACCACCAUUGAUAGUACAGUACUAAUUCUAUACAACAGAAUAUUAAAGGAUUGUUUUAUGUUACACCUAUUAGCUGCUUUCCCUGAUACAA